rnacentral:miRNA from 1 species
UCUGUAGCCUGGGAGCAAUGGGGU